rnacentral:rRNA from 1 species
AUUGAACGCUGGCGGCAGGCCUAACACAUGCAAGUCGAACGAGUGGCGGACGGGUGAGUAAUGUCUGGGAAACUGCCUGAUGGAGGGGGAUAACUACUGGAAACGGUAGCUAAUACCGCAUACCAUCAGAUGUGCCCAGAUGGGAUUAGCCUGUUGGUGGGGUAACGGCUCACCAAGGCGAGGAUCGCGAGCUGGUCUGCGAGGAUGACGAGCCACACUGGAACUGUGACACGGUCCAGAAUCGUACGGGAGGCAGCAGUGGGGAGUAUUGCACAAGGAGCACAAUCCUAAUGCAGCCGUGCGGGUUGUAUGAGGAAGGCCUUCGGGUUGUAAAGUACUUUCAGCGGGGAGGCGUUACCCGCAGAAGAAGCACCGGCUAACUCAGUGCCAGCCGCCGCGGUAAUAC